GGUUGAGUGGCGAAAUUGGUAAACGCAGGCUGAAAUGCUCCGCUGCUGGUUCGAGUCCAGCCUCUCCCA
rnacentral:tRNA from 1 species